rnacentral:rRNA from 1 species
GUCAAGUAAUUAAGUGCAUGUGGUGGAUGCCUUGGCAGUCAGAGGCGAUGAAAGACGUGAUAGCCUGCGAAAAGCUCCGGGGAGGCGGCAAAUAUCCUUUGAUCCGGAGAUGUCUGAAUGGGGGAACCCACCUACUUUAAGGUAGGUAUUGCAACAUGAAUACAUAGUGUUGCAAGGCGAACGAGGGGAAGUGAAACAUCUCAGUACCCUUAGGAAAAGAAAUCAAUUGAGAUUCCCUCAGUAGCGGCGAGCGAACGGGGAUCAGCCCAUUAAGUUAUGUGUGUUUUAGUGGAACGCUCUGGGAAGUGCGAACGUAGAGGGUGAUAUUCCCGUACACGAAAGGGCACACAUAAUGAUGACGAGUAGGGCGAGGCACGUGAAACCUUGUCUGAAUAUGGGGGGACCAUCCUCCAAGGCUAAAUACUCCUGACUGACCGAUAGUGAACCAGUACCGUGAGGGAAAGGCGAAAAGAACCCCUGUGAGGGGAGUGAAAUAGAUCCUGAAACCGCAUGCAUACAAGCAGUGGGAGCACCUUCGUGGUGUGACUGCGUACCUUUUGUAUAAUGGGUCAGCGACUUAUAUUCAGUAGCGAGGUUAACCGUAUAGGGGAGCCGUAGAGAAAUCGAGUCUUAAUAGGGCGUUUAGUUGCUGGGUAUAGACCCGAAACCAGGCGAUCUAUCCAUGAGCAGGUUGAAGGUUGGGUAACACUAACUGGAGGACCGAACCCACUGUCGUUGAAAAGCCAGGGGAUGACUUGUGGAUAGGGGUGAAAGGCUAAUCAAGCCUGGUGAUAGCUGGUUCUCCCCGAAAGCUAUUUAGGUAGCGCCUCGGACGAAUACCAUAGGGGGUAGAGCACUGUUUCGGCUAGGGGGUCAUCCCGACUUACCAAACCGAUGCAAACUCCGAAUACCUAUGAGUACUAUCCGGGAGACAGACUGCGGGUGCUAACGUCCGUAGUCAAGAGGAAAACAAUCCAGACCGCCAGCUAAGGCCCCAAAAUCAUAGUUAAGUGGGAAACGAUGUGGGAAGGCAUAGACAGCUAGGAGGUUGGCUUAGAAGCAGCCACCCUUUAAAGAAAGCGUAAUAGCUCACUAGUCGAGUCGGCCUGCGCGGAAGAUGUAACGGGGCUAAAACUAUGUGCCGAAGCUGCGGAUGUAUACUUUGUAUACGUGGUAGGGGAGCGUUCUGUAAGCCGAUGAAGGUGUGUUGAGAAGCAUGCUGGAGGUAUCAGAAGUGCGAAUGCUGACGUGAGUAACGACAAAACGGGUGAAAAACCCGUUCGCCGAAAGACCAAGGGUUCCAGUCCAACGUUAAUCGGGGCUGGGUGAGUCGACCCCUAAGGCGAGGCCGAAAGGCGUAGUCGAUGGGAAAAUGGUUAAUAUUCCAUUACUUCUGUGUAAUGCGAUGAGAGGACGGAGAAGGCUAAAUCAGCCUGGCGUUGGUUGUCCAGGUGAAAGGAUGUAGGCAUG